AUGGCCAUCUUUGAUGAGUUCUACGUUGGGUCCAUUGACCUCGGGCGCCUUAACUACGGGACGAUCUCGCUUAUCCCCAAGGUCCCUGGGGCGUCUGACAUCCGUCAGUUUCGCCCGAUCAUGGUGAUAAACGUGAUCUUCCGUAUUCUGGCGAAAGGGUACGCCAAUAGGGUGACCCUGCUCGCAGACCACAUUACCCACCCCAACCAAUCGGCCUUCAUCCAAGGUCGAUAUAUUCUGGAUGGGGUGCUAGUCCUCCACGAGGUUCUCCACGAGGUCCGCUCCAAACACCUGAAGGCGGUCUUCCUGAAGAUCGAUUUCCAUAAGGCCUAUGACACCGUUAGCUGGCCCUUCCUUCGGGAAGUUCUUCUACGGAAAGGCUUCGAUGACCGCAUGAUCUCCAGGGUGAUGCAGAUGGUCUCUGAUACAUCUCCAACGUAUCUAUAA
rnacentral:rRNA from 1 species